GCAGACCGCCGUGCCGCACCAGCGCGACCCCAGCCUGUCUCUGAAACACGCCCCCCGGGACGUCUCGUGAUGAUGCCACUUUCAAGGACGCAGUUUACUCCAGAGGAAAAGCCCAAGUACUCCAGGCGUAGGAGGGAGACCGUGUGGCGAGCAGACCAACCUUUCCACCUCACGCUGGUGCCUGCAGGGCGCCACGCACACAGGAGUAACGGAAGUGAACGUUUGAAGGGAAGCUUGGAAGGUGCCAGAAAACCUUGUAACGUUGAAACACAACCAGCCAGCCUCUGACCCCGCUGCUCGCUGCUUUUCCAUUCCAGACUAGGCCUCAGUGUUCAGAGCUACAGCGCGAGUCACGCGUUUGAAUCCUUAAGGUGGUUCUCUGUUAACCAUCCAGCUUGUAACGCGUAUCUGAGGCCUCCUGCAAGGCCAGUGAUGUAUGUGCUAUGGACAGAACAUCUGCAUUUCCCGGUUUGUGAAAUCUAACUUGCGGCCCACAGGUCUCGGGAAAGCCUGCCGCUUGCACACACAAUGCAACUGGAGGACGCAGCAAACGGUGCACGACAGCCAUUCCAAACCGGAGAGCAGGACGGGGGAACCUAGCAACGCAGCAAAACAAAGUCAAACAUCUGUGUUUCGAUUCCGCCGUGUCUUCAAGAUGGGGUUAGAGUCGGCCAUAAGUGGAGCCGGCGGUCCUCGGUUCGGCACCCGCCUGCCGUAACGCGGCACAGUCCCCCAGGGUCCCACUCAACUGUGCGACUGUCUCCCGGGAGCUGCCGGGCUGAGGACGCUCCGCGGCCAGCGCCCGCCCGGAGCUGCGUUCCACCCCAGGUGGAGGCUGCACGCCAUCAACA